AAAGGCUUAGGAUAAAUGUCAGACUGAAGGCCUUCAAAGCCUUAAGCAGGUGUUAAACCAUCUAGCCUUUG
rnacentral:tRNA from 1 species